GAGUUUGAUCCUGGCUCAGAAUGAACGUUGGCGGCGUGGAUUAGGCAUGCAAGUCGAGCGAGAAGCUCCCUUCGGGGAGUGGAAAGCGGCAAACGGGGUAGUAAUACGUAGGUGGCGUACCCCAGGGUCUGGGAUAGCCACGGGAAACUGUGGGUAAUACCGGAUGAUCUCUUCCGGCAUUGCGGUCGGGAGAGCAAAGGUGAGAUUCCGCCCUGGGAGCGGCUUACGCGGUAUUAGCUAGUUGGUGAGGUAACGGCUCACCAAGGCGAAGAUGUCUAGGGGGUGUUAGCGCAUGGCCCCCACCACUGGGACUGAGACACUGCCCAGACACCUACGGGUGGCUGCAGUCGAGAAUCUUCGGCAAUGGGCGCAAGCCUGACCGAGCGACGCCGCGUGCGGGAUGAAGGCCCUUGGGUUGUAAACCGCUGUCAGAGGGGAUGAAAUGCGAGAGGGCUCUCCCUCUCGUUUGACAGAGCCUCAGAAGAAGCACGGGCUAAGUACGUGCCAGCAGCCGCGGUAACACGUACUGUGCGAACGUUAUUCGGAAUCACUGGGCUUAAAGGGUACGUAGGCGGCCGAUCAAGUAGGGUGUGAAAUGCCUCGGCUCAACCGAGGAAUGGCGCUCUAAACUGGCCGGCUUGAGUAAGAUAGGGGUGUGCGGAACUUCCGGUGGAG
rnacentral:rRNA from 1 species